rnacentral:rRNA from 1 species
AUUGAACGCUGGCGGCAGGACUAACACAUGCAAGUCGAACGAGUGGCGGACGGGUGAGUAAUGGCUGGGAAACUGCAUGAUGGAGGGGGAUCACUACUGGAAACGGUAGCUGAUACCGCAUACCAUCGGAUGUGCCCAGAUGGGAUUAGCUAGUAGGUGGGGUAAAGGCUCACCUAGGCGACGAUCCCUCGCUGGUCUGAGAGGAUGACCAGCCACACGGGAACUGAGAGACGGUCCAGACUCCUACGGGAGGAAGCAGUGGGGAAUAUUGCACAAGGGGAGCAAGCCUGAUGCAGCCAUGCCGCGUGUAUGAAGAAGGCCUUCGGGUUGUAAAGUACGUUCAGCGGGGAGGCGUUACCCGCAGAAGAAGCACCGGCUAACUCCGUGCCAGCCGCCGCGGUAAUAC